GACGAACGCUGGCGGCGUGCCUAAUACAUGCAAGUAGAACGCACAGUUUAUACCGUAGCUUGCUACACCAUAAACUGUGAGUUGCGAACGGGUGAGUAACGCGUAGGUAACCUGCCUGGUAGCGGGGGAUAACUAUUGGAAACGAUAGCUAAUACCGCAUAAUAUUAAUUAUUGCAUGAUAAUUGAUUGAAAGAUGCAAUUGCAUCACUACCAGAUGGACCUGCGUUGUAUUAGCUAGUAGGUGAGGUAACGGCUCACCUAGGCGACGAUACAUAGCCGACCUGAGAGGGUGAUCGGCCACACUGGGACUGAGACACGGCCCAGACUCCUACGGGAGGCAGCAGUAGGGAAUCUUCGGCAAUGGACGAAAGUCUGACCGAGCAACGCCGCGGGAGUGAAGAAGGGUGUCGGAUCGUAAAGCUCUGUUGUAAGAGAAGAACGGGUGUGAGAGUGGAAAGUUCACACUGUGACGGUAUCUUACCAGAAAGGGACGGCUAACUACGUG
rnacentral:rRNA from 1 species